ACGUCACGUUCCCACAAUGCACGCGCCCCAUCAGCUCCAGCGCUGCUAUGUUUAGAGGGACAGAAACAGCAGGCCCGAAAAAUACACACAUUAUUGAACAAUAAAUAAAUUAUCCACUGCGAAUAAUUUUUGAGAAUCCAUCGAGAUAUGGCUGGGAAACGAAUUUUUUAUUUGCACCCUUGCGAGAUGUAGAAUGGAGGAAUGCAUGAGAACUGCAACUUUAGCGGGGAUCAAAAGUUUCUGAAGACUGAACAUGCAAAAAAACAAUCUUCACUCCGAAGAAAAAUCAGCUGUUGGAGCUUCUUCUCAGAUGUACAGUGACAUACUCCCUGAGAACUACCCAUAUAUGUGAGAAAAUGUUUCAUGGCAAAGACCAGCUAAACAGCCACCUGCAAAACCACGACCCCAACAAGCAGGAACUGCGGUGCGAGGAAUGCGGAAAGCAUUACAACACUCGCCUGGGUCUUAGACGCCACGUGGCCACGCAUGCCACCUCCGCCAGCGGUGACCUUACCUGUAAGGUCUGUCGUCAGGCGUUCGAGAGCAUGCCGGCGCUACUCGAACACCUGAGUACACACACCGGCCGGCCACCUCCGGGGACUGUGGUACGAGAAAGGAAGCAUCAGUGUGAGCGGUGCGGCCGCCGCUUCUUCACUCGCAAGGAUGUGAGGCGCCACGCAGUGGUGCACACCGGCAGACGGGACUUCCUGUGCCCGCGUUGCGCCCAACGCUUCGGCCGUCGCGACCACCUCACCCGACACCUGAAGAAAAGCCACGCGCAAGAUUUGGAGACCCUUCCUCCGAUGCCCAUUAAAGAGGAGCCCAGUCCUACCGUGUGCUCUGUUGGAUUUCCGAAAGAUGCCACAGAGGCGUUUUCCAUGGCCAUGUUCAACCCUCAAGGCCUUCCGAGCACAUCUACCUCAGGGGUCAAUCAUCACCAUCACACGAUGGUGUCUGGCCCCCUUUCCAGCCCAAUGGGUGUGGGCUGCUACCUUGAGCCAAACAAGCCUCCUCCGCAGCAUUACCAGCAGGCUCACAGAUAUCAGCCGAGUUCCACUACCUCAUAUCUGAAAGCGGAGAUGGAGAGCUUCCUGACUGAACUCCAGUGCGGGCCAAUGCCACCGCAGGCAGCCGUAGCGACUGCCGUCUCCCGGCCUGGCGACCUUUUCACUGACAGUCUGGGAGGUCAGAGUGCCCAUUUCACUCUCAGGAACUCGGCGUUCACCUCAGCCGAGCCGCCUACCACCUCCGCCAACAUGGACCUCUCGCACCUGUUGGGCUUCCUGCCGUUUGGCCUGCCUCCCUACAGCACUACCUUGGGAUACUCGACCACCACCAACGCCGUGUCCCCAAGCCCUACCUCUCAGCUCUCUGGGCCGCUUUCCUCAUUUCAGCCACAGUCACUGCAUGAGCCUCAGGCUUCAGGGCACUUAAACCAGCUCUCUGGUUUCUCUCCGACUCUACCUCGAUUCCAUCAGGCCUUCCAGCAAUGAUGUCGCCCGUGUCCACUAUGACCUGCCAGUCAAACGCGACAGUUCUGUUGCGUCAUUGCCAAGUAGCUUAUAGAAACCAUCCUGGGCAUUUCCUUCUUUGGCUGAACUGAAAUGAAAUUGACCUCAACUCAACUGUGAUGUUUAGACUCCGACUGAUCUACCUCAGUGAGAUGCACACUGUGCACAGCUGUACUGUACCUUUAGUAAGAAAUGUAAAGUUCCAAUGGCUGUUUAGCUGGAGUAAACAGGUGUUUUACAUCUUUAAAAUUCCAAGCAUUGGCAUUUUUGGGUUCCAAGGACUGUUUUCAUAAACAUUAUGAAAGCAAAAGUGGGUGAGUGAGACAUCAAGGUGUA